rnacentral:lncRNA from 1 species
GCGACAAAGCACUGGCAAGAAGCCUCCCAUGCAGGAUGAAGCCAAGGAAGAAGAGAAGAGAGGAAGGACACGCCCAUUAACCAAAGGACCCAAAACAUAUCUCAAGGAGCUCAUGAAGUCAUCCUCAUGCACACAGUUUCCCAGGUGUCAGAUCUGUUUGGGCCACAAACCUAAGAAGAACAUCAUGUGAGGAUGAAGGCAGAGAGCAGGGUGAUGCAGCUGAAGCCAAGGACACUGAAGACUUCCUGCAAACCCCCAGAAGCUGGGGCAGAGGCCCUCCAGUCUCCAGAAGAGGCCAACCAUGCUGAUACCUUGACCUUGGACUCCUAGCCCCAGAACUAUGAGAAAUAAAUUUCUGUUAUUUAAGUCA